rnacentral:rRNA from 1 species
UACGGGGGGGGCAAGCGUUGUUCGGAAUUACUGGGCGUAAAGGGCUCGUAGGCGGCCAAUUAAGUCAGACGUGAAAUCCCUCGGCUUAACCGGGGAACUGCGUCUGAUACUGGAUGGCUUGAGUUUGGGAGAGGGACGCGGAAUUCCAGGUGUAGCGGUGAAAUGCGUAGAUAUCUGGAGGAACACCGGUGGCGAAGGCGGGUCUCUGGGCAGUAACUGACGCUGAGGAGCGAAAGCGUGGGGAGCGAACAGG